GGUUUUGGAAUCCCUUAGCUCUGUUUUCUGCUCCCCAUUCUCAUAAUAAACCAGGCUAAAAGCGGCUGGCAAUAUCCAUGCUAGUGAAUGCAGGCUGUGCUACCUUGAAAUUUCCACCUCCAGAUUAAUUAAUCCAUCUCUUUAAAGUUCAGUCUCACAUAGAAUCUUGGGACAUAGUAAAAAGAUAAUCAAAUUCUUGAGAAAACAUAAUCAAAUUCUUUGCCAGAACAUAAUGUGGGUGACCUCCAGUCCAAUUCCAUACAGAGUCCUGAUUUCCAUCUGAAACCUCAUGAACAUGAUCUGCAUUCUUGUUGUCAUUCCUCUUUGAGCUCCUAUCAGAAUCUCCCAUUAAGCUCUGUUUACCACAUUCUACAGCUUUUCCAGCGUGCACCUCUAAACUAAUAAAAACUCUUCCUGCAAAACAGCUUUGAGGUUUCUGAUCCACAUGAUCAGGUUAGUCACAAUAAUGACCCCACUUCUUCAGUUAGAUUUUUGUCACUGUACCAAGUCCCCCAAUGAGAACAACUUAGAGGAUUAAAACUUUACCCAGGCUCAUGAUUUAAGGGGUCUUGGUUAAUAGAGAGCCAAGUCCAUUUGCUCUGGGCCCAAGGCGAGGCAGCACAUCAAGAGGGGGUCAUAGUAGAAAAGCACCCUUACAGGGUAUAACCUCAGUGACUCACCUCUUUCAGCCAUGCCCCACCUGCCCACAGUUAGUCCAUUGAAAGUCGGAUGGCCUGAUUAGUUUAUAGCUCUCACAAUCCAAUAAUUUUACUUUUGAAUAUUUCUGCAUUAACACAAGAGGCUUUUGGUGGCACCUCAUAUCCAAACCAUAACAGACUCUAAGCUUGCACUCAUGUCACUGAGGUAGGAGGAUCACAUAUUUAAGCCCAGUCUGAGAAAUUAGUGAGAACUUCUCUGAAAAUAAAAAGGCUGGGGAUAUACCUCAGUGGUAGAGCAGUUACCUAAAAUAUAUGUAGGCCCUGGGUUCAAUUGCUAGUAUAUUAAAAAAAAUUAAAGAAAAAUAAAACAGGGUGUUUGAGGGCUUGAGGAAAUGAGUCCAACCUUUCUACUUCUUCCCUCAUAUGAGGCUACACCAGCAAAGUGCUUUGACUUUGAACUUGCCAAUCUAUAGAACUGAGAGAAAUUAAUUUCUUUUAGUAAAUAACCAUAGUCUAAGGUAUUUUUUUUUACAGCAGCAUGAAGGGAUCCACUCAUCUGGAAAUGCCUCCAUUUCUUCCCUCUACGAUUUUUUUUUCAGAAACAUUGUGAUUCCAGCGAAAUGUAGAGCUGAGACAGAUCAAACCAGUGGUGAGCCAGAGGACCCUGUUUUUUGUGGAUUCUGACAUCAUGGUGUGGGCAUUGGUCACAUGGACUCAAAGAACUGCAGAAGCAAGGUGUGCAAACUGGCUCAGGCUUCUCUGCAUGGAUUCCAGCCAGCAGUGCCUCUUGAUCCACCUGGACAUCAGGAGUCUCCUUUGCCUCCACUUUUGAGAGACAUCAGAGACUGUUUCCCCUGCGACACUUUCCCCCUACCUUGCUCCUCUCUGACCUUUCUCUCUUCUCUGCUUUCUUAAUACAUUUGUUUCUCACAAAUUGUAUAACAAAACUGAUGUUCCAAAGAUUAAAAAAAAAUAUUUGUUUUUUUCCUGAAA